UUUUUCAAAUCAGUGAAAUUAAUCUCCCCGUGAAGAAGCGGGGAUACUCAUAUAAGACGAGAAGACCCCAUGGAGCUUCAAACCCAACUACACCCCUAGCUCUUAUAGCCCCACAACCCCCCCUAGGCGCCGUGUGCUUGGUUUUAGGUUGGGGCGACCGCGGAGUACAAUAAAACCUCCACAAUGAAUGGGAACACCCCCUUAUCUGAGGGCCACACCCCCUAAGAAUUAGAACACUAACAUAAAAUGAUCCAUUACUUGAUCAAUGAACCAAGUUACCCUGGGGAUAACAGCGCAAUCCAUUUCAAGAGCCCCUAUCGACAAAUGGGUUUACGACCUCGAUGUUGGAUCAGGGUACCCCAGUGGUGCAGCAGCUACUAACGGUUCGUUUGUUCAACGAUUAAAACCCU
rnacentral:rRNA from 1 species